AUUAUCGUCUUUACUAACGAUUAUGAUAGCUAUGAUUAUGAUUAGCAAAAAUAAAAAAUAAAAUAAAAUAGCAAAUAUAUGAAUUUUGAUGAAUGAUACAUAAAUAAAUUUUCAUUGUUUUCUGUUUUAACUAUUAUUUUAUAAACCAUGUCCUUUUUGGACAUUGCCAUUGAUACUUUGCCACUUUUUGAAAACGAAGAACUUUUCAAAAAAUUACUUUUGCUCUACAACCACAUCGAUGGCUAAUAUAUCCUUUAUUACUGUGAAUGUACAUGCAUUCGUAUCUAGUAGUUUCAAAUUUCAAACUGCUGAGUUGUCAAAUAAUAAGUUAAUUUUUUAAUAAUUUUACUUUUUGGUUAAUUUUUUUUUUUUGGAUAAAUGGGAAAUGUCUAGAGAAAUUUUGCAAUUAUGAUUGAUAAUGCUAGCUCGGUGAUUAAAGAUGUGAUUUACUUUAAAACAAAUACACCUGCUUUGCACGUUCAUUAAUUUACCAGCGCAGGGCGCUUUUAAACUAAACUGUAUUUACUAAAUGUAAAAGCAAUUGACAUAUUUCAAAAUCAGUUUUAUAUCUUAUAAAAAACUAAAGGUCUCCCAAAGCCAGAAAAUUAAAUAUAGUCUUAAACAGAAAGUUGCUAAUAUAUGAAACAAAAUUUUAAAAAACGCACGAAGCUGUUCGCAAAGUAUUUUUAAGUUCAUCAAAAGCCCCACUACCAUUUACUGUGGAUGAACUGGUCAUCAUAUUGGACCUUGGACAUCAGUAACUAUGUAUCCCCAUAACUUGUGGUCUUUUAAUCAAUUUGGAGUCCAUGAAGCCGUGUCCUAAAUCUAGUGAGGAUCCACGGCUUAAAAAGCAAAUCUUCCGAUCUCCUUUCAACGCUGGACAUGCCGAACAAUUUUUAAAAAAAUGAGAUGACCGUCUUCAUAAAUGCCACAGGUUAUUUCGUACUCCAUGCUGUAAACCCGUCACCACCUCUUAAAAUCCGCCAAACUCUAUUUCAGUUAGUCAAAAAAUAUUGAAGAUUUGCACAGAAUUGAAGCACUUGGAUGAAAAUAUAAAUCCCCUACAAUACUGUAACUGUAUCUAUGUAAUGUAACAUACCUAUUUUCACUAACCAUUACGAGAAUUACUAAAUUUUAA